rnacentral:misc_RNA from 1 species
UCCGGUUUGGCACCGGCAGUCCCCCGAGAGUCCUCAGCGCCUUGCGGCCUGUUAGCAACACGGGGCGGGGGUUGCGCUCGUUGCGGGACUUAACCCAACAUCUCACGACACGAGCUGACGACAGCCAUGCAGCACCUGUGCACGGGCUCCGAAGAGGGGCCGAUGUUUCCACCGGCUUUCCCGUGCAUGUCAAGCCUAGGUAAGGUUCUGCGCGUUGCGUCGAAUUAAACCACAUGCUCCACCGCUUGUGCGGGCCCCCGUCAGUUCCUUUGAGUUUCAACCUUGCGGUCGUACUCCCCAGGUGGAUUACUUAACGCUUUCGCUUGGACACUGACAGUAUAUCGCCAAUGUCGAGUAAUCAUCGUUUAGGGCGUGGACUAC